rnacentral:rRNA from 1 species
AACGAACGCUGGCGGCAGGCCUAACACAUGCAAGUCGAGCGAGGACUUCGGUCCUAGCGGCGGACGGGUGAGUAACGCGUGGGAACGUGCCCUUUGCUACGGAAUAGCCCCGGGAAACUGGGAGUAAUACCGUAUGUGCCCGAGAGGGGAAAGAUUUAUCGGCAAAGGAUCGGCCCGCGUUGGAUUAGGUAGUUGGUGGGGUAAUGGCCUACCAAGCCGACGAUCCAUAGCUGGUUUGAGAGGAUGAUCAGCCACACUGGGACUGAGACAAGGCCCAGACUCCUACGGGAGGCAGCAGUGGGGAAUCUUAGACAAUGGGGGAAACCCUGAUCUAGCCAUGCCGCGUGGGCGAUGAAGGCCUUAGGGUUGUAAAGCUCUUUCAGUGGUGAAGAUAAUGACGGUACCCACAGAAGAAGCCCCGGCUAACUCCGUGCCAGCCGCCGCCGUAAUAC